rnacentral:rRNA from 1 species
GACGAACGCUGGCGGCGUGCUUAACACAUGCAAGUCGAACGGAAAGGCCCCUUUGGGGGUACUCGAGUGGCGAACGGGUGAGUAACACGUGAGUAACCUGCCCUUGACUUCGGGAUAACUUCAGGAAACUGGGGCUAAUACCGGAUAGGAAUCCUUGCUGCAUGGUGGGGGUUGGAAAGCUUCGGCGGUUUUGGAUGGACUCGCGGCUUAUCAGCUUGUUGGUGGGGUAGUGGCUUACCAAGGCUUUGACGGGUAGCCGGCCUGGGAGGGCGACCGGCCACAUUGGGACUGAGAUACGGCCCAGACGCCUACGGGAGGCAGCAGUGGGGAAUAUUGCACAAUGGGCGGAAGCCUGAUGCAGCAACGCCGCGUGCGGGAUGACGGCCUUCGGGUUGGAAACCGCUUUCAGCAGGGGCGAAGCUUGUGGUGACGGUACCUGCAGAAGAAGCACCGGCUAACUACGUG